rnacentral:rRNA from 1 species
GAUGAACGCUGGCGGCGUGCCUAAUACAUGCAAGUCGAGCGAACAGAUGAGGAGCUUGCUCCUCUGACGUUAGCGGCGGACGGGUGAGUAACACGUGGAUAACCUACCUAUAAGACUGGGAUAACUUCGGGAAACCGGAGCUAAUACCGGAUAAUAUAUUGAACCGCAUGGUUCAAUAGUGAAAGACGGUUUUGCUGUCACUUAUAGAUGGAUCCGCGCCGCAUUAGCUAGUUGGUAAGGUAACGGCUUACCAAGGCAACGAUGCGUAGCCAACCUGAGAGGGUGAGCGGCCACACUGGAACUGAGACACGGUCCAGACUCCUACGGGAGGCAGCAGUAGGGAAUCUUCCGCAAUGGGCGAAAGCCUGACGGAGCAACGCCGCGUGAGUGAUGAAGGUCUUCGGAUCGUAAAACUCUGUUAUUAGGGAAGAACAAAUGUGUAAGUAACUAUGCACGUCUUGACGGUACCUAAUCAGAAAGCCACGGCUAACUACGUG